CUUUUUAAAUUCAGCAACAGUGAUCCAGGAAGAAGACUGCAGCAGCUCACUCUCCACUGAAGACGUUCAACCCAGCAGCAGAGAAGAAGAACAACAACUCACAGACUCGGGAUGAAGACCUCCAGGAAGAAGGCCUCUGCUUUUUUUUUUUUUUUUGGAGAAAAAUAAAUUUUAUCACUGUUACAAGAUGUCAGUGUAUGCCUGUUGAAUUAUUAUUAAUUAUGUUCCAAGUUUAGUUUUCCUUUGUAACAAGGACCAUAGAUGAAGACACUGAGAAUGAAUGGUAGGUGGUGAAAUGAAUACAUUG
rnacentral:lncRNA from 1 species